UUCUGAUAUUCCCAGUGCCUCUUCGUUCUGCUCCCUACUCCGCUUGCUCCCCUGCCCCAGCCCAAGUCCGCCUAGGGCCUGGCCAGUGCUGCCCCAUCGCUCUUGGCCGGAGCCGGCCCUCCUGCCCCUGCCCGACGCCGCUGCCCGCUACCCCAUCGUCAGCGCCGCCUCCGCGCGUCCCCAUACUCCCCCAGGUUCCAUCCGCGCCGCCUGCAGCCUGCGCUGUUACCCUGUGGCGCCUCGCGCCGCCGUGCCCGCAGCGAAUGGUGCUCUGCCGCGGCGUCGCCGCGGUGGCUGCUGCUACACGGCCGCGCGUGCCGCGCCGCAGGCUGCCCUGUGCCCGCUGCUUUGCUCUUCCCCAAUUUCUAUAUCCAGAUGAAGGCCGUGUAGUGCUGAUAGUAUUAUCAAAAGCAGAAAUGCAAGAAGCACGAAUGAGGUUACAGCAGAAAUGUUUCAGAUUUUGUAACAUUUUUGUUAUGAAGUACUCCCUCCGUUUCUAAAUUUUUGUCGAAAUAUUACAUGUAUGUAGAUGCUUUUUAAGAAUAAAUACAUCCUUUUUUGGGCAAAUUUGAGACAAGAAUUUAAGAAUGGAGGGAGUAAUUUGCUUCAAACUUUAAGCUGUCUGAGGUAAAGAAACUUGGGAAGCUUGGUAAAGGUGCUAACAAGAGGAAGCGGUGGGGGAGAGGUCUGGAGCUGGAUCCAUGGAUGGAUUCGCAGGAUGAUGGCUGGAUCUGCAUAGUUGACUGGGGAUGUGUCACUUUGUGUACAUUGCUAUACAGCUUGUGAAUGACAUACUCUGUUAAACUUGUAUUUGUUUGUUCUCUACUACUAUGAAGUAUGAACGUAUCAUGAUGAACUCACGGGGUGAAAAUGUGGCUUGCUAGAAAAUGUACUCCUCUUCUGAAAUAUGUGCUUCAGUGGCAUAUAAUUUGAAAAUGGUUUAGGCUAUACUUUUCUGUGCUUCUGACUUCAGUCUCAUAGAUCACAACAUGAACUUUUUGCAUCCAAUGUCUGAUGGGUGUAGCAGCAACAAGUAUACUGUCAGGCAUUAAUCUCGUCCUUCUGCUGGGGUGUAACAUUGGCUCUUCUACAGGCAUUAGAAGCUCUCCUACGAGCAUUAAUCUCCUCCCUCUUCUCGGCUGUAAUGCUGGCUCUUCUACGUGCAUUUAUCUCCUCCCUCUGCUGCGGCGUGAUGCUGGCUCUUCUACGGGCAUUAAUCUCCUCCCUCUGCUGCGGCGUGAUGCUGGCUCUUCUACGGGCAUUAAUCUCCUCCCUCUGCUUGGGUGUUAUCAUACCUCGUCGAGCUUUAUCACGUUCCCGUCUUGCUCGAUUUUUCUCUUCUCUCGUAUUGUGAGCUGUAUCAUACUGUGAACCAUGUGUUGGGCUCGUAACGUCAAUUUGAACCGGCAUGUCCUGAUCAUCAUCACCUGAGUUUGUGUAGCUGCAGCUCAUAGGUUUCGCUGGUUCUUGUACACAUUGACCUGUUGGGCAACAUUGCAUCAAUGAUAUGGAAAUUAAUUGCGUGCACUUUUUCUUUUGGCAUUGGUUAGUAAUUGUCGUAACUUCAAACAUGUAUAGUACUGCUUAAUUGCUCCAGGUACUGUAAAUUUUGUUUUCCUAUAUGGACGUCAGAUGAUGUGCUGAAGAUUUUUUAUUUCAGGGUGCCGAUGGUGUUUUAGUACCUGGUGGCUUUUGAGACAGAGGUGUCCAAGGAAAAAUCCUGGCUGCUAAGUAUGGCCGUGAAAAUGAUGUACCAUAUCUUGGUAUAUGUCUUGGAAUGCAGAUGGCUGUUGUAGAGUUUGCUCGGAAUGUCAUGAAUCUCUGACGCAAACAGCACUGAAUUUGAUCCCAAUGCCAAGACCCCAUGUGUUAUUUUUAUGCCUGAGGUGGUGUACUUGCUAAGGCAACUUCACGAGGAUAUGCUCUCAAUUAUUGAACAGAAAUAGCUACGGAGGGGAACAGAGAAGAGAGAAGCUUGUAGGAGAGGAGAUAAACCUUUUGCCGAUGCUGAAGAAUGUUUGCCGCCAUGGAUGGUUGUGGAUUGAAGUUGAAAGUGUUGGAUUGCGGUGUACCUCUGCCCACCACGCCUGGAUUUAAAGGCCAGGGUGCCGGAGGUGUUGACAAAACAUAGCUGGAUUAGGACUCGGCGUCUGAGUGUUUGCCAAAACAUAGUAGGAUUAGGACUGCUAUUUUGUAUUUUGGAGUUCAGACAAUUUAGCUAUGUAUUUUCAGUUGAUAGUCUUGUUAAUUUGUUUUUUUUUAUUAUGUCAGAUCAAUUGAUAAUGUUAUCACUCCCCUUGUCCA